AGCCAAGCCGAUCGGUUCCUCCAGACCUACAGGCUCAGCCCGCUCUCUGCUCCCGGGACCAACCAAUCCUAACUGGAAGCAGCAGAGAGCUAGGCAACUCCAGCUCCAGGUUCUAGGACGUGGUAAUUUCACCCGUGCUGCUGACAGGAAGCUGACCUUGUCUGUCAGCUUCACAGAGCUUGUCCGCUUGUUUCUGACACUUCCUCCCUCUGUCGGUGCCCCAGCCCUGCAGGCAGGUCUCUGCCUCACUUGCCGGGGCCUGGCUACCUGCUGAUGGACAUCUGUCUUGCCCCCAGCUUGCUUGCCUCAACCCCUUUCCUUUGGUAACAGACCCCACCCACAGGUGGGAUGACCAUGUGACCCAGGCCUGGCCAAUCAGAACACCCCAGCCCUUUGCUAUGGGAUUGGCUCAGGGAUGAGCACUGGCAAUCUGACCAAUCAGAGCCCUUCCCCAGGACUCCUCUAAUACUGUCUGUGCAGAAAGACUUGGAUUACAAAACAGGAAGGCUGGAGGCUAGGACUGGUGGAAGCUCUGCCACGGGAAGCAAAGCUGUCUGCCAAAGGAGAGAAAGAGAUAAAAGAGCUGUCGCACCAAAAGUAAGGACUCCACUUGGGGAGAUGCUGGCUUCUCCAAGGACUGGUGAUGGAGGAGUCUGGGAUGUCGGGGUUCAGCUGAAGUCCAAGUCAAAAGGACCCUAAGAAACCAGCCCUGGAUGAAUCGUCAUCUGGGGAGCAGCCCCGUGUUCAGCCUCUCACCGCUGGGCCAGAUGCACGAGAUACAUCAUCAACAUCGUGAAUAAACAUCGUUUAUUCAGCAUGUAUUGGCACGUGGUACUAGGUUCUGCUCAGAUCAAAGAGAACAAUCUAGACCCAAUCCUGCCCCAACUGUACCUUACAACAUGCUCAAAAUAAUGAUGAUCUCUGUCAGUGCUGUGGUCCUUUCUGGUUUACAAAGAGCCUUCAGCAACUCAGUGAAUUAGGUAGAGCAGGUCUGAAAAUUAUUCCCAUUUUAGAGGUGAAGUGACCUCAGAGAGGUGAAGUGUC
rnacentral:lncRNA from 1 species